GAUUUUUUUUUUUUUUUUUUUUUUUUUUUUUUUUAUAAAAAGUUUUUUAUAUGUUAAUUACUUAUUUUAAUUAAAUCUUUUUUUUGUUUACUGUAAAGUUUAAAAAAAAUUUUUAGGAAGAUAAAUUUUUUUUUGUACCUUUUGUAUCAGGGUUUAUUAAUUUAUUUAAUUUAUUUUAUUUUCCCGAGUUUUUAAGAUUUACGCUUAUUUGUAUUUUAAUGUGGAAAAAUUAUUUAAAAAAUAUUCGUGGUUUUGAAAUGAAAUUCGUUUAAUUCGUUAUCUGGUUAGUUGAGAUUAAGUUUAAUUUUAGAAUUAAUUUUUGAUUUUAUUUUUUUGUUUUCAUUUUUUUUUCUUACUUUUAGGGGGAUAAGCUCUUAAAUUAAAUAUAAUUUUUUGAUAUAUUUUGUAUGUAGGUUUAGAAUUUUCCAUCAUUUAGAUUUUGUUAAAAAUCUCAUUUUUAUUCUUUUUUUUCUUUAUGUUUUUAUCAAUUUUUAAUUAUUAAUUUUUUUUUUUUUAAUAAUGAUAGAAUUAGUAAGUUUUAAUUUUGUUUAUAUGAAUUCGGCAAAUUUAAAUUUCGCCUGUUUAUCAAAAACAUGUCCUUUUGGUUGUUUAAAAGGUCUGACCUGCUCAAUGAUUUUAAAUAGCCGCAGUAUUUUGACUGUGCAAAGGUAGCAUAAUAAUUAGUCUUUUAAUUGAGGUCUGGAAUGAAUGGUUGGACGAGAAUUUUACUUUAUUUAAUUAAUUUUAUUUAAUUUUCUGUUUUGGUUAAAAUUCCAUAAUGUUGAAAAGGGACGAUAAGACCCUAUAGAUCUUAAGAAUAUUAAUUUUUUUUUUUUUUUUUGUAGUUUUUUUUUUAGAAUAUUUCUUUUCUUUAGUUGGGGUGAUUAAUAAAAUUUUUAACUUUAUUUUUUUUUUACAUUUAUUUUUGUUUGUUUGAUCCUUAAUUUUGGAUUUAAAGAUAUAGAUACCUUAGGGAUAACAGCAUAAUUUAGUUGGAGAGUUCAAAUUGAUAACUAAGUUUGUGACCUCGAUGUUGGAUUAAAGUUAAUUUGUGGGGCAGUUUUUACAAUUUUAGGUCUGUUCGACCUUUAAAACUUUACAUGAUCUGAGUUCAGACCGGCGUGAGCCAGGUUGGUUUCUAUCUUUUUUAUAUUAAUUCUGAUUAGUACGAAAGGACUUUUGGGGUGUAAAACUUAUU
rnacentral:rRNA from 1 species